UACAGAGGGUGCAAGCGUUAAUCGGAGUUACUGGGCGUAAAGGGCGCGUAGGUGGUUAUUUAAGUUUGAUGUGAAAUCCCUGGGCUUAACCUAGGAACUGCAUUGAAAACUGGAUAACUGGAGUACUGUAGAGGGUAGUGGAAUUUCCGGUGUAGCGGUGAAAUGCGUAGAGAUCGGAAGGAACACCAGUGGCGAAGGCGAGUCUCUGGACAGCAACUGACGCUGAGGCACGAAGGCCAGGGGAGCAAACGGG
rnacentral:rRNA from 1 species